UGAUAAGAGCUGUUAGGGGCACUUAGAAUUUCGUCUGUUCUUUGGCAACGCUGGCACAGGGACGUGCCAGCGAGGCGCAAUUGAACAUGGAUGUGAAUUUGCGCCGGUUGCCGGAACAUAUGGCAUUAUACCGAAAUUCUUAGUGCCCCUUGCAGACUUUAUGC
rfam:Roseburia sp. CAG:45 genomic scaffold, scf93